UAAGAAAAAUUGUCAGGGGAUUAUUGUUUUUUAAUAAGGAUUGAUAGUUUGGAUUGUUUCGUCAAUAACCACGAAAUGUGAAAAUUUUGAGUGAACCAAUUGGAAGUACCUGAAAUAUGCCGCAGGAGGAAGAUAUGCCUAUGCCACUUGGCCGCAACAAACGGUUAGGACUCGAUGCUGACUUUUCUGUCAUCCAACCAUCAAGGUAUAUGGAUGUCCACUCCUACCGAUCCGUGGCCUCAACCACGGAUUUUUCUAGGCAGAUCAGCCCCUUGGCUGCACUUUUUGAAUAAAAUUCUGCUUACCUUCACCACAGAAAACUUGGAGGGGUCAGAUAUCUAGUUUGGUGUUAUCUUAAAAAAAGAUCUUAAAAAGAAGAAACAACAUCGAAACACCAAAAAACCAUACACUAUUAAAACAACAAAAACUUACAAAAUUUUGUUCACACACACGCAUACACAACAAACAGCAAAUGAAAUAAAUUUUACAGAAACUUUUCUUCCAACUUUUUUAUACUUAAUUUGGGUUCAAUUUUUUAUUUUCCAGGUAUGAUUAUUAUAUUUUCUUAU